AACUGCACAUGCCUGUCUUUCGUGGAUAAGAAGCAAGGCCUUGCUGAGGGUUUACUUGCGAAUGUUUAUUGUGAUGAGUCUUGUUGAGGCCUCUAGUUUCUGCUACACCAUCAAUAUUGAACUCUUGUGGAGACUCCUCUCAGAUAUUUGGUUGUAGCCCAGAGUCAUGGAGACCCUGCAGGUAUGGUUCCGCGGGACUGACCACUUCGCAUUCUCCAGCGGCUCUCAAAUGUUAGGGCGAGCCAACUCCAAGGAUCUGGGCCUGGGUGGGUGGUAGCUGAGUUGGUGUAGUGGCAGCCGAGUGGAGUUGUGGGGCAGCUCAGCACGGCCCACGGACAUCCGUGUAGCCUUCCAUGGUAACGUGAGCCACAGACAUCACCACCGCCUCUGUCUGGAUCUGGACCACUGACCCACUCACAGCCCUCAGCAGGACUUUAAGCCUCAUCGUGGUUUCAGAUGGCUACACAAGCAUCAGCGUGGCCCCCCUGAGGCAGCAAAGCCUGAGGACAUCACCACAUCUUCAGUCAGAGGCACAGAGCUUACAUCCCCGUGGACCUCAGACUUCAUCCUGGCCUGGGGCAGCAGCAUGGACCACAGACACCAGCAUGGCCUCUGGUGACAUCAUGGACCAUGGUGGUCCUUCCAGGAGGUCCAAUCCAGACAUUGAACUUUUCCUCAUCUCAGGCCUCCAUCAUUGAACAGAGCCAGGAUGAUCCUGUGACCUGACUGGGUGGCAGGUUCGGGACCUGAGUCUGCAGCUGCACAAGCUCCAGGAUGCUGCACAGCACCCUGCACACCUUACUGCGCUAUGACGGCAGGUUAACCCUCUCUCUUCCCUAUCACCACGUCUCCAGUUCUGCCUCCCUCCAUAGAGCACACACCGCUGUUUUCUGUCUUUCCCAUCUCCCCAUCACAUAUGAUCAUCACAGUGGCCUUUUCCCCAAGGAAAUGAAUUUUUGUUUUGUUU
rnacentral:lncRNA from 1 species